UACGUAGGGCGCAAGCGUUAUCCGGAAUUAUUGGGCGUAAAGAGCUCGUAGGCGGUCUGUUGCGUCGGCUGUGAAAACCCGGGGCUCAACCCCGGGCCUGCAGCCGAUACGGGCAGACUAGAGUUCGGCAGGGGAGACUGGAAUUCCUGGUGUAGCGGUGAAAUGCGCAGAUAUCAGGAGGAACACCUGUGGCGAAAGCGGCUCACUGGACCACAACUGACGCUGAGGCGCGAAAGCUAGGGGAGCAAACAGG
rnacentral:rRNA from 1 species